AAGCGUGCUGGGGGUAGGGACAUGGGAAACGCCGCUGGAAGCGCUCGGCGCCUGCCAGGCGCCCGCUGCGUGCAGCCUUGGCACUUCCCUGCCACAAACCGCUCCCUGGACCGCGUCCCGGUGCUCGCGGUGACAGACGGCGACGUUAAACACACCACGGGCUGAUGCCCAACGCAACCGGCCCCGCUGCUCCCCUGGUGUGGCUUCGUCUCCCACCCUGGGAUGUGGUGGGUACCGGAGCAUCCCCCCGAGCAUCACCCCCAUCUCCUGGCGUUGGGCAUCGCCCCAUCGGCGUGUAAAUAACACACGGAUAAAAAAGAGUGGGGUUCGAUUUUCCUGAGGAGAAAGGAAGGGCUAAAGACAAAAGAGGCCGGUUACCAAUUGGCUGCAGCGCAGGGAAAAUUGCUAUCAAGGAUAUGGAACCCCAAAGGAGAAAGGGGAAAAGCUGAGGAGGAGCGAGAGCAGGCGGGAGCUCUGCCAAGGGAAAGAUGAGCUUGAUGAAGUUACUGCUUGUCUCCCAGAGCAGAGCGAUGGGAGCGGGGCGACAGGAACGAGGUCAUGAAAGCAGAAAGGAAAAUACAUUAGAAAUGUUCAGCUGCUCAGUCUAGCCUGAAAUGUGCUUAAAUCAGCCCCGAGUAAACAAUGAGACGGGAUUAAUUGCAAUUAGUCCUCAGGAGAAAGGUGGCAUCCCCCUUCCCUGGCUCCCCAGGGGCCGCUCCCUGCCCUGCUGGGAUCACCCGGCCGGAUCCAGCCCCGGGCAGGAUCGGUGACGCCGUCCUUCCGAGCGCGGUGGCUGCGGGGAACCGCGUUAUCUCCGCCGAGGCAGAGGCGAGAGCCCGGCAGCUGCUGGAGCUUCAAAGGAACCUGCAAAUCCGGCGUAUGCAAAAGCCCGGCCGGCUCCGCAGAUAAACAGGGACGUGCCAGCUCCUGCGGCACCGGCAGUGCCCGGCCCCGGGGUUAUGUUCAGCCUUGGGGUGAUGUUCAGCACUAAGGUUAUGUUCAGCCCUGGGAUGAUGUUCAGCACCAGGGUAAUGCUCAGCCCCGGGGUGAU